AUAAUUUUCGUGGCCUUCUGACUAAGAUCGAGUGUACUAUCUAUUCUUAUCAGUUUAAUAUCUGAUGCCCACCUGAUUCCUUUUCAGGCUGAUGACGGUGACAAACACAAUCAGGGAGUAGUCGAUAUUUUUGUUACACUUAAUUCUUGGAACUGCAACUGCAUUUCCAGUAUGAUACAGGUUUA
rnacentral:snRNA from 1 species